UGUAGGAGCCGGCUUGCUGGCGAUGAGGUCAACGCGGUUUGACAGGAACACCGCGCCGCCGCCAUCGCCAGCAAGCCGGCUCCUACA
rnacentral:misc_RNA from 1 species